UACGUAGGGUCCGAGCGUUGUCCGGAAUUAUUGGGCGUAAAGGGCUCGUAGGCGGUUCGUCGCGUCGGGAGUGAAAACUCGGAGCUCAACUCCGAGCCUGCUUCCGAUACGGGCAGACUAGAGGUAGGCAGGGGAGAGCGGAACUCCUGGUGUAGCGGUGGAAUGCGCAGAUAUCAGGAAGAACACCGGUGGCGAAGGCGGCUCUCUGGGCCUUACCUGACGCUGAGGAGCAAAAGCGUGGGGAGCGAACAGG
rnacentral:rRNA from 1 species